GUAGCCUUUCUUUGCUCUCUUUUUCUCACUCUUCCCCACACACUGACACAGUCACACGGUAGAAAGACAAGAAAACACGCACACGACUGUUGAGUGACCCCUUUCCCCCUUCUUCUUCAAAGUCAAGAAAACCCACCAAAUUUUCGUUCUAAUUUGGAAAACCCAGAAAAUCCCUAAUCCUACUUUUCAUUUUCCUUCUUGUUUUAGGGAUGAAUCUCCGUUCUCGAGCUUCAAAAGGAAAAGAUAUUGUUCAAUAUAUAGAGAGCUCUGAUGAUGAUGAACAAGGCUGUACAGAUUCUUCGGAUUCUGACAUUUAUAUAAUAAGUGAUUGUGAAGAUGAAGUAUGUAUGCACAUGUUGGAUGAGCAUGAGGGAAAGGAUAUUCCAGACAUAAAUCUUGAACCAACUUUUGAGAUUUCUGACGAUGAUAUCCAGGAUAAGGUGUCAAAGAGGAGGAAAGUGGGGCCUGUGAAAAGGAGGGGAAGGCGGAGGAACAAAAACUUGGAUGUGGUCCUUGUAAGUGUUGACAGAGAUAGAGAGUGCAAUCAGAUGGAUACUGUUUUUGAGGAUGUAGCUGAUCAAUCUGAGGAGAAAAGUUUGAAAAGGAAGAGUAAAGGGCAUAAGAGGCCAAUAUUAGUGUGGGAAGUAUUGCAACAUGAAAUUGAGAGAUGGAUUAAGGAGAAUGAAGCUAAUGAUGUUGACUUGAGUAACCAGAAUGAAAUUUUGGCAGAAACUGUUGAGCCACCUGCCAAUUUGAUUAUACCACUGCUCAGGUACCAGAAGGAGUGGUUAGCUUGGGCACUAAAGCAAGAGGAGUCCACCACAAGAGGAGGCAUUCUUGCCGAUGAAAUGGGGAUGGGAAAGACAGCCCAAGCAAUUGCACUAGUUGUGGCUAAACAGGAGAUCCAAAAGGCAAUCAGUGAACCCAGUUUAGUAGCAUCUGCUCCCAGUUCCUCCAGCACAUUUCCAGCAGUCAAAGGCACUCUCGUAAUAUGUCCAUUGGUGGCAGUGGUUCAAUGGGUAAGUGAAAUUGACCGUUUCACCACAAAAGGUAGCAAUAAGGUUCUUGUUUAUCAUGGAUCAAACAGGGGAAGGAAUAUUGACCAGUUUUCCGAAUAUGAUUUUGUUAUUACCACCUAUUCCAUAGUAGAGGCUGAGUACCGGAGAAAUGUGAUGCCACCUAAACAUAAAUGCCAGUGGUGUGGAAAGUUACUUUAUGAGCACAAGAUGUCUGUUCACCUGAAGUAUUUUUGUGGGCCUGAUGCAAUCAAAACGGCUAAGCAGUCAAAGCAACAGAGAAAGAAGUCAAAUUCAAAAACAACAACCUCGAAGCAGAACUUAGAGUUUGAUGAAGAUGAUGCCUUUGAUUCGAAUGGUGAUAUGCAAAAGCGAGGUCGUAAGAAGGGUGCAAAGACUUCGAAUGGGAUCGGAGGGUCAGGAAAUGCUUUCGCUUAUGGUAUUCCAGCGGAUAUUGGAGAGUCAUCUUCUACAAAGAAAUCUAUCUUGCAUUCUGUGAAAUGGGAGCGCAUCAUUCUGGAUGAGGCUCAUUACAUAAAAGAUCGACGCUCUAGUACUACAAGAGCGGUGUUUGGUUUACAAUCUUUGUACAAAUGGGCACUCAGUGGUACUCCACUCCAGAAUCGUGUUGGUGAACUCUACUCCCUUGUACGCUUCUUGGAGAUAGUUCCUUACUCUUAUUACUACUGCAAGGACUGUGAUUGCCGAUCACUUGACUACAGCACCUCAACUGAUUGUCCACACUGCCCCCAUAAAUCUGUCAGGCACUUUUGCUGGUGGAACAGACAUGUUGCUUCUCCAAUAAAAUAUGCUGGAAAUCUUGGGGAAGGGAGAAAAGCAAUGCUGUUGCUGAAGCAUAGGAUUUUAAAAAGCAUAGUGUUAAGACGUACUAAAAAAGGCAGGGCUGCUGAUCUGGCACUUCCCCCUAGGAUUGUUACCCUGAGGCGGGAUGAACUUGAUAUCAAAGAAGAAGAUUAUUAUACAUCACUAUAUAAUGAAAGUCAGGCACAAUUUAAUACAUAUAUUGAAGCAAAUACUUUGAUGAAUAACUAUGCCCACAUAUUUGAUCUUCUCACACGCCUGCGGCAGGCUGUUGAUCAUCCUUACCUUGUGGUGUACUCUAGCACAGCUGCUGGAAGAGGUGGAAGCAUAAGGAAUGCUCCCAGUGGUGAAGUAUGUGGCUUAUGUCAUGAGAAUGCUGAAGAUGCUGUGGUGACUUCAUGCACUCAUGUAUUUUGCAAGUCUUGUUUAAUUGAUUUCUCCGCUAGCAUGGGACAGAUAUCAUGCCCAUCUUGUGCAAAACUGCUUACUGUGGACUUCACAGGAAACAAGGAAAAUGAGGAUCAGAUGCCUAAAACAACUAUUAAAGGAUUUAAGCCAUCAAGUAUUAUUAAUAGAAUCCGGCUGGAUGAUUUCCAGACAAGCACAAAAAUAGAUGCUUUGAGGGAAGAAAUCAGAUUUAUGGUUGAAAGGGAUGGGUCUGCAAAGGGAAUUGUUUUUAGCCAAUUCACGUCAUUUUUAGAUCUGAUACAUUACUCCCUCCAGAAGGUACCCUUUUGCAGUCUGGGGUUAGUUGUGUUCAAUUAGAUGGAUCAAUGUCUAUGACUGCUAGAGAUGCUGCUAUAAAACGAUUUACUGAAGAUCCUGAUUGCAGAAUAUUUUUAAUGAGUCUCAAAGCAGGAGGUGUUGCACUCAACCUCACUGUGGCAUCUCAUGUUUUUUUGAUGGAUCCGUGGUGGAAUCCUGCAGUUGAAAGGCAAGCCCAGGAUAGAAUUCACCGAAUUGGACAGUUUAAACCAAUCAGAAUUGUGAGGUUUGUUAUCAAGGAUACAGUUGAGGAGAGAAUCUUAAAGUUGCAAGAGAAGAAGGAACUGGUCUUUGAAGGGACUGUGGGUGGCUCUUCAGAGGCUUUAGCAAAACUGACGGAGGCAGAUCUCAGAUUCCUGUUUCUUACUUGAGCAAAGACCCCAAUUUGCAAUCCAUGUAAUGCUUUUUGGUGGGUUUCUCCCAACUGUCUUAUUUUGUAAGCAUCUUAAUAGACUUUGGAACUACCAAAACUCGACCGCAUAGCUGCUGUUAAGUUUGUCCUUCUGGGCAACUGCUUUUAAUCUAUCCCUAGAACCUGGUCAUACCAUGAAACCUGUCCUUUUCUUGUUUGUGAUAUUGGAAAUUUGAACUUGAAAUAGCCUGUUUGCUAUUCAGCUAUCGAAUGUGAAUGAUUGUGUUUGGACAA